UAAUAACUAAUUCACAGAGUUGGAAAUUACGAACUACAGUUUAAACACCAAAGAAUUUGGCGGUGUCUUAUUUUAUUAGGGGAACCUGUCCCUUAAACGAUAAUCCACGAAAGUCUUACCUAGUUUUGAAAUUCAGUUAGUGUACUGCCGUCUCAAGUGUACCUUAAUAAGUGUAUACUAUUAAUUAUAAAUUAAUAUUACGUCAGGUCAAAGUGCAGCCAAUAGCUAUGUGGAGAUGGGUUACAAUCUUAAUAUAGAUACAAAUAAAUAUAUUAAAAAUAUUUUGAAGGUGGACUUAAUAGUAAUUAAUUAUAGUUUAAUGAAUAUAAUACUAAGACAUG
rnacentral:rRNA from 1 species